CCUACGGGAGACUGCAGUGGGGGAUAUUGCACAAUGGGGGAAACCCUGAUGCAGCGACGCCGCGUGGACGAAGAAGUAUUUCGGUAUGUAAAGCCCUAUCAGCAGGGAAGAAGAAAUGACGGUACCUGAGUAAGAAGCACCGGCUAAAUACGUGCCAGCAGCCGCGGUAAUACGUAUGGUGCAGGCGUUAUCCGGAUUUACUGGGUGUAAAGGGAGCGCAGGCGGCACGGCAAGCCUGAUGUGAAAGCCCGGGGCGCAACCGCGGGACUGCAUUGGGAACUACCGAGCUGGAGUGCCGGAGAGGUAGGCGGAAUGCCUAGUGUAGCGGUGAAAUGCGUAGAUAUUAGGAGGAACACCAGUGGCGAAGGCAGCCUACUGGACGGUGACUGACGCUGAGGCUCGAAAGCGUGGGGAGCAAACAGGAUUAGAUACCCGUGUAGUC
rnacentral:rRNA from 1 species